ensembl:snoRNA SNORA9 small nucleolar RNA, H/ACA box 9
CUGCAAGCCGCUCAGCGAGGCUUGGCCUUUUGUGGCUUUGUCCUUUCCUCAGAAGUUUGCUAGAGUGAUGCUGAAGUGGUUUGAGACUUUGCUGUGACUUUUCCAAGGCAAGGUUAUAGAAACUUCACACAGCC